rnacentral:lncRNA from 1 species
CCAAUUUCGAGUGUACCGAUAGACGAACAGCAAAAAUUAAUAAUUUUAAUGAAUUUUUUUAAUAUUAACACUUAAAACUGUGAAUUCUAAAUACCUCUGUGGACACAUAAAAAAAAAACUUCUGAAAAAGUCGCUUUUUACAUUUUUUACGAGCUUAAGACUACGGACUGCUUUCUUAGCAAAUUCCUUAAGGAAUCGAGUUAAGUCAUCGAACUAAGUCUGGUCCUACAAUUUUUAAUUUUUUUUUAAUAUUAGUGAUGGACUUGUAAGUUUUACUUAUAUUCUAUUUCAUGUCCAAACCAUUAAAAUUUCGAAAAAAUAAAAAUUCUUAAAAUUCCAUAUCAUAUUCAAUAAGAUAUAAUACAAUAAUCCUGAAAUCGUUCCGAUACUGGGUCUCGUUCCGCUAUAGGGUCUUUUACCUUAUAUACGAUACUUUAUAUUAUUAAAAAAUCGAAAUUUCAAGGAAUUGUAAAAAAUAAAUAUACCGUUCUGGUCAACUUAGAUAAAAAGAAUCAUACCUCCAUCCGACUUUUCCGGUAAUCGUUAGUAAAUACGGACGUAUUUAUGUACCGCUCCCGAGAAUACAAGUAUUUAAAUAAUAAAUACGUUGAGAUACAGUAUAACGUACGGCGGUUAAGUUUACAUCGCAGAUAUAAGGAUGAAGUGACCAGUGUGUUCUAGUGAGGGUGACACUGUACACCCUCGCGAGUAACCGCGUGUUUUUUCAAGCCUAUGACAAAAAUCUUUGAUCAUGAAAAUUAACAACAUCCCACCUCUUCAAAUAGUUAAUAACGGUAGCAGUUACAUUAUUCGAACAAGAGCUAAUACCCGAAAUAGGUCAACCGUCGAUGGAAACAAAACAAUCCUCUAACCUUGCUCGUACAGAAAAGAGAAUAAUCAAAAUAGAUAAUAGAAACUCGAGUAUGGAAAAUGAGAUGGAUCAGACUCGGAAGAUUCGUAAAACUGGAUUCCCGCUAAAUCAACUAAAUUACAAGGUUCAAAAAAGCGCAAAAUGGAUGAAACAAAAAACAAAAAAAGCAAUAUAGUUAAAAUAACAAAUUAAUUAGACAAACUUGGUCACAAGGAAAAUAACAAAAACAUAUAUGAAAUUAACACCCUUUUGAAUACAAUAAUUAAAGUCGAACCACCUAAAACAAAAAGAGAAAUACUACGAUGCACAUGAUACUUAUGGACACACAAAAAAUUAUUGCAAUCGAAAUCCUGCCUGUGUCAAAUGUGCACAGAAACAUCUAACAACACACUCUGUUCUCAACAGGGCAAAAUCUAAAAUGUCAAAUGUGCAAAUUAUAAAAAUAAUGUACAAAAGAAUAAAACGAAUAAUUUCUGACAAAAACCUUUCUAACUGAACAUUCUACGUAAAAAUCAAAGACACUCAUUCGAACAUCAUACUAAUCAGAGCUGAGCUGUCGCAGGGAAAUAUCCUCUGACCAAUUCUCUACACCCUCUAUACGGCAGACAUACCAAUAAAAGCAAAGUGCAUAAUCUUAACAUUUCUGAAUGACACAGCAAUGCUUACCAUAAUCAAAGACCCGCAACAAGCAAAUUAAUCGUUACAAAAACAAAUCAACUCUCUCGAAGAAUGGUUACGUAAUAGGAAGAUCAAGGUAAACUCUAUCAAGUGUAAGCAUAUUACGUUUACACUGAGGAAAAACCAAAUACCGAAACUACAACUAUAUAAUACAGAAAUUCCGCAAGUAACGACGGUCAAGUAUUUAAGACUACAUUAAGAUUUCAAAUUAACAUGGAAAAAGCAUAUAUUAGGUUGACAAGAAAGUAAUUUCGGAUUUUUAGUGUGAAAUAAAACUUGAAUUUUCUAUACAAAAAA